UCUCUGUGACGUGCGUCUCUCCACGCUCAAAGCUUAAUCCCCUAGAGACUGUCUCGUAGUGUCGACGUCUGAGUCACGUUGGCUUUAGAUGCGCUCGUACAUGAGUAAUUGUAUUCAUAGUAAUGCUUGCUGCGCUGACAGACGAGACAGUAUCAAGGGGGCACCUGUAUACAAGGGAAUAGGCUAGGUCAGUAUAUACCUGUCCAGGUAGCAACACCAUCCCCCUCUUAUUGAGAUCAUUCGGUUUGUCUUGGAAAAGGUAACUAAAUCUCUUCUCACCUUUUCCAUGUUGAAGUGAUGGAUGCUGAGACUUGAAAUGGAGUCCUGCGUGAGUCCAUUUUCUUAGACCCAUACAUGGUCCACACUUGCGACCCGCAAUUUGCCCCCUCUGAUCCUCCUCGGCCUGGCCCACAAUAGGAUAACUUACCUUCCGACCUGGGACACGCAAAACUGUAAGUGAUGUUACUCCAGUGCCGAAAAAGGGAGCAAUCCAUGAAAAUGGAACAAAGCUACCCAAACCACAAGGGAGGGUGAGAGGGAUGAAGCCCACACCUUAGCCGGGUACCCAGGUGGGUUACUUGCAGACUGCCCGCAUGGCCAGGGAAUUGGUGACAUUUUGCCCAAAACCCAACCACGUUGUGGGUAUUCCAUGGGUACCUGACCCUCCGCAGGACUCUAACUUUAAGUUCCUCUGCUUCCCAGAGAAUGUGUUCAUCCUCAACUAUGUCUUAUCAUUUGCACCUGCCAAAGAGCUGCCUGCAAGCUUUUAAAAGGCCAUGGGUAGGGUUAUUUCCUGCAUUUCACUCUAGAGAGAAGGGUGAGUGGAGGCAAGAAGUACGUCAUUAUGGUACAUAGUGAAGUGGCUAAAUGGCUUUGCCAGACCAAGGAAAGGAUGAGGAAAUAAUCUUUGAGUCAGACGUAGACCAUCCUGGUCAGAGGCAUGAGCUCUGUGCAAUAAAAAAACAUUUACAUUUAUUUUGUGCUGUUUUUAUGCAUUUUCCACAUAACUGCUGCUGAAGGAGCUCAUAUAUAAAGAAUGGAGUAUACUUUCCCUUAAGCUCACCCAUUAGAUAAGACUAUAUUGUAAAUCAGUGAUCCCAAACCAGUGGCUUGUGAGUAACAUGUUUCUCUCCAACCCAUUGGAUGAUGUUCCCAGUGGCCUCAAAGCAGGUGCUUCUUUUUGAAUUUCUGGUUUGAAAGCAAGCUUUAUUUACAUAAAGACAGGGUGUACUGCCAAACAGAGCUUCCUAUAGGCUGCCAGUCCACAUAGGGGCUACCAAAUAGCCAAUCACAACCCUUAUUUUGCACCACCCAGGAACUAUUUCCAUGCUUGUGUUGCUCCCCAACUCUUUUUACAUUUGAGUAUGACACAUGGGUAUAAAAGUUAGGGGACCUCCUCUGUAAAUAUGCCCUAAAACGUUUGUGCCCUUGUAGCAUUCCAAACUUAAUUAGCAAUGCAAGAGUGUCCUUCCUAAUAGCACUACAUCAGGCAUCUUGCUGUUAUAUAAAAUAUUGAAAAAAUAUUGUGGAUCUAGUGCAGUUUUCAGAGAUACAGUAUAAUGACACUGUCUACCAUUGUUUAAAAUAAAGAAUAGAUAUUUUUCCUCAUUAAACCCCAAUGUCCUAAUUGCCUAUAUAUUUGCCCCAUAUAAAUGUGCCUUCUCCAAAGUACACUAUUUAUGUAAUAUAGGUUUGGCUCAGGACCUGGGGGUUUCCAGGUAAUGAAUCUUUCUGUCUUUCAUACCUUCUGUCUACUGAAAAAUCAUGUAAAAAGUAAAUAAACCCAAUAGGCUGGUUUUGCUUCCAGUAAGUAUUAAUUAUAUCUUAGUAUGGAUCAAGUACAAGGUAUUGUUUUAUUAUUACAGAGAAAGAAAUCAUUUUAAAAAAAUCUGACUUAAUUAAAAUGGAGUCUAUUGUAAUACGAAACUUUCUGGGUAAUUAGUUUCCAGAUAACUGAUCCUUGUACCUGUACCAUGCGACUAACAAUUUGAAAUAAUAGACAUUAUUUAUUUAAAGGUAUAUUUUUUUUUUUUUUUUUUUUAACUAAUAAACAACAUAACAAACCACAUGAAUAUAGCCUUAACCAAGUUCACUGUUCUUGGGCUUAUAAUGAUUACGGUAGUAUUAGUUAGACACUGUCCAGCUACAUCCUGGGAUCAAAGUUCCUUGGAGUUUUGGUCACACCAAAUCCUACGGGGUAUCAGCUUUGUGCUGCACGUGAGUAUGAGGAAGCCCAUUAUUUAGCCAUUUGGAUGUCGGGCUUACAGAGUGGAACACUAGCCCAGAGGAUCCAGGGAGGCAGACUGUGGGAUAGUAGUAGUAGUAGUAGAAGAAGUAGUAGGCGGCGGGUAGGAAGCCUCCAGCACAGCAGUCUGUCUUUCAGUUAAAGGACCAGGAACAAAAGGAUCUCUGUGUAGUAAGGCUUAGGGUUCAGUUGAUUUCCUUCAUCCCUGUGCUGGAGAUUGUUGAUCUCUGACUCUUAGGAGUCUGGUUUGUGGAAGAUCCUGCCUGUCCAGUCAAUCCGUUGCUUUGUUAGCAGAGGCGAAGAAAUGUGCAGUUCUGCCACUUAGGACCCAUAGUCUCGCAGGAUAUAACAUGUAACAAUAAACAAUAUGUCACUCACAGUUACACCACUGGUUGAAUUAGCACAUGUUUAUACAUAUGAGCAGUAACCCCACGUCAAGGCUUCAACCCUGUUACUGGCCAUUCACACACCAUUCACGCCAGGUGUAACGCCUCACACAACAGGACAAACGUGACAAACAAAGACAACACAAGAGACUUAAACUGCACGUGUCUAUGAAGUACCACCCGUUGCUCAUUUAACAAGAAACAUUCAGGAGAAGGUAAAAAAAAAACCGAUCCGAAGCAUUCGCUAAUUUGCCCCAGACAGGGGAAAAACCCUUGCCCUGGAUAAACUACAAAACUAUAUACAAAACUAACAGGGUAUGGGUUCCAUAGACAAGAUGUGCAGGAAGACAAAGCAGUCUGUGAUCUUGGCAUCUACUUGCCUUCUUGUUACACCCUUAUCCUUUCAUAUCUCACAUUCACUCACACUCACGCACCAUUCGCUCCACAUGUAUAUAUAUAGAUACCUACCUGGUACUUACCUUCAUGAACCCAGAUGAGUGACUGUGCCUGAUGUUACCAAGGAAGGAAAUUCAGAUGAUGACACGGCCUUUGUGCAGCAGGUGGAGCUGAUGUUGAAGCCCGCAGAUAUGCCCCCGUCCUCUGAUCUUAUGUACCUAUGCUAGAUGGAACAGCAUGUUAUUAUGGCUGGCUGGAUCACACUCUGACAUACUCACUUACUCCAACCAGGAGGAACUUAGAAAUGAAAAGCCAGAGACGAUAUUGUUGUCCCCUGAUGUGGCUUCAUCUUCCUCGGAUCGGAGGAACGGCAGAUUCCCAUCAUAUGUAAAGAAGAGCUUUGCUGAUGGCUGUUUGAAAAGCAGAAAUCAAUUCAGUUAAAAUCAUACAGAAUAUCUAUUAUGAGCAAGAGAAUAGUUACUGUAUUUGCUUUUAGAGGCCCAAUUUAACAUUUUGAUUUGCAAUGUAUUUAACAUCAAUAUACAAUAAAAAUUCCAUUACAUAUGUAACAUGUAGAAUUGAAAUUGCCAUACUGCUUGCUUUAGUAGAGGCACCUUCCUUAUGUGUAUAGGUUUAAUAGAGACUUGUGUGUUUAAUGCUUAAAUAAAACUUCCACAAACUU